UUGGUCUAAGUAUAUUAAAUAUACUGAAAUUUGAACAAUACAGAGAAAAUUAGCAUGGCCCCUGCAAAAGGAUGACGUGCAAAUUCAUAAAGUAUUCUAGAAAGAA
rnacentral:snRNA from 1 species